CGGUCUAUCAGUAUGGGGUAGCUAUUCUGAUAAUGCUAUUAAACCACUUAAAACUCAUCAAAACCUGGCUAUAAGGAUAUGUAUAAAGAAAAAUGAUUUAUAUGGCUCGACUUCAUUAAAUUAUAAAGAAUGUAAAGUUCUACCGGGUAGGUGUUUAUACAGACAGUUCUCCAUUAUAUUUACAAAUACGUAAAAUUACUUCUAAACUAGACCAUAAACGGAAAACUAGAGCUUAUGACACAAAACGCU